rnacentral:rRNA from 1 species
AGAACGAACGCUGGCGGCAGGCUUAACACAUGCAAGUCGAGCGCCCCGCAAGGGGGAGCGGCAGACGGGUGAGUAACGCGUGGGAAUCUACCCAUCUCUACGGAAUAACGCAUGGAAACGUGUGCUAAUACCGUAUACGUCCUUCGGGAGAAAGAUUUAUCGGAGAUGGAUGAGCCCGCGUUGGAUUAAGCUAGUUGGUGGGGUAAAGGCCUACCAAGGCGACGAUCCAUAGCUGGUCUGAGAGGAUGAUCAGCCACACUGGGACUGAGACACGGCCCAGACUCCUACGGGAGGCAGCAGUGGGGAAUAUUGGACAAUGGGCGCAAGCCUGAUCCAGCCAUGCCGCGUGAGUGAUGGAAGGCCCUAGGUUGUAAAGCUCUUUCGACCGGUGAAAGAUAAGUGACGGUAACCGAGAAGACGCCCCGG